rnacentral:rRNA from 1 species
UCCUGACUGACCGAUAGUGAACCAGUACCGUGAGGGAAAGGCGAAAAGAACCCCGGCGAGGGGAGUGAAAAAGAACCUGAAACCGUGUACGUACAAGCAGUGGGAGCACGCUUAGGCGUGUGACUGCGUACCUUUUGUAUAAUGGGUCAGCGACUUAUAUUCUGUAGCAAGGUUAACCGAAUAGGGGAGCCGAAGGGAAACCGAGUCUUAACUGGGCGUUAAGUUGCAGGGUAUAGACCCGAAACCCGGUGAUCUAGCCAUGGGCAGGUUGAAGGUUGGGUAACACUAACUGGAGGACCGAACCGACUAAUGUUGAAAAAUUAGCGGAUGACUUGUGGCUGGGGGUGAAAGGCCAAUCAAACCGGGAGAUAGCUGGUUCUCCCCGAAAGCUAUUUAGGUAGCGCCUCGUGAAUUCAUCUCCGGGGGUAGAGCACUGUUUCGGCAAGGGGGUCAUCCCGACUUACCAACCCGAUGCAAACUGCGAAUACCGGAGAAUGUUAUCACGGGAGACACACGGCGGGUGCUAACGUCCGUCGUGAAGAGGGAAACAACCCAGACCGCCAGCUAAGGUCCCAAAGUCAUGGUUAAGUGGGAAACGAUGUGGGAAGGCCCAGACAGCCAGGAUGUUGGCUUAGAAGCAGCCAUCAUUUAAAGAAAGCGUAAUAGCUCACUGGUCGAGUCGGCCUGCGCGGAAGAUGUAACGGGGCUAAACCAUGCACCGAAGCUGCGGCAGCGACGCUGAUGCGUUGUUGGGUAGGGGAGCGUUCUGUAAGCCUGUGAAGGUGUGCUGUGAGGCAUGCUGGAGGUAUCAGAAGUGCGAAUGCUGACAUAAGUAACGAUAAAGCGGGUGAAAAGCCCGCUCGCCGGAAGACCAAGGGUUCCUGUCCAACGUUAAUCGGGGCAGGGUGAGUCGACCCCUAAGGCGAGGCCGAAAGGCGUAGUCGAUGGGAAACAGGUUAAUAUUCCUGUACUUGGUGUUACUGCGAAGGGGGGACGGAGAAGGCUAUGUUGGCCGGGCGACGGUUGUCCCGGUUUAAGCGUGUAGGCUGGUUUUCCAGGCAAAUCCGGAAAAUCAAGGCUGAGGCGUGAUGACGAGGCACUACGGUGCUGAAGCAACAAAUGCCCUGCUUCCAGGAAAAGCCUCUAAGCAUCAGGUAACAUCAAAUCGUACCCCAAACCGACACAGGUGGUCAGGUAGAGAAUACCAAGGCGCUUGAGAGAACUCGGGUGAAGGAACUAGGCAAAAUGGUGCCGUAACUUCGGGAGAAGGCACGCUGAUAUGUAGGUGAAGCGACUUGCUCGUGGAGCUGAAAUCAGUCGAAGAUACCAGCUGGCUGCAACUGUUUAUUAAAAACACAGCACUGUGCAAACACGAAAGUGGACGUAUACGGUGUGACGCCUGCCCGGUGCCGGAAGGUUAAUUGAUGGGGUCAGCGCAAGCGAAGCUCUUGAUCGAAGCCCCGGUAAACGGCGGCCGUAACUAUAACGGUCCUAAGGUAGCGAAAUUCCUUGUCGGGUAAGUUCCGACCUGCACGAAUGGCGUAAUGAUGGCCAGGCUGUCUCCACCCGAGACUCAGUGAAAUUGAACUCGCUGUGAAGAUGCAGUGUACCCGCGGCAAGACGGAAAGACCCCGUGAACCUUUACUAUAGCUUGACACUGAACAUUGAGCCUUGAUGUGUAGGAUAGGUGGGAGGCUUUGAAGUGUGGACGCCAGUCUGCAUGGAGCCGGCCUUGAAAUACCACCCUUUAAUGUUUGAUGUUCUAACGUUGACCCGUGAUCCGGGUUGCGGACAGUGUCUGGUGGGUAGUUUGACUGGGGCGGUCUCCUCCUAAAGAGUAACGGAGGAGCACGAAGGUUGGCUAAUCCUGGUCGGACAUCAGGAGGUUAGUGCAAUGGCAUAAGCCAGCUUGACUGCGAGCGUGACGGCGCGAGCAGGUGCGAAAGCAGGUCAUAGUGAUCCGGUGGUUCUGAAUGGAAGGGCCAUCGCUCAACGGAUAAAAGGUACUCCGGGGAUAACAGGCUGAUACCGCCCAAGAGUUCAUAUCGACGGCGGUGUUUGGCACCUCGAUGUCGGCUCAUCACAUCCUGGGGCUGAAGUAGGUCCCAAGGGUAUGGCUGUUCGCCAUUUAAAGUGGUACGCGAGCUGGGUUUAGAACGUCGUGAGACAGUUCGGUCCCUAUCUGCCGUGGGCGCUGGAGAACUGAGGGGGGCUGCUCCUAGUACGAGAGGACCGGAGUGGACGCAUCACUGGUGUUCGGGUUGUCAUGCCAAUGGCACUGCCCGGUAGCUAAAUGCGGAAGAGAUAAGUGCUGAAAGCAUCUAAGCACGAAACUUGCCCCGAGAUGAGUUCUCCCUGACUCCUUGAGAGUCCUGAAGGAACGUUGAAGACGACGACGUUGAUAGGCCGGGUGUGUAAGCGCAGCGAUGCGUUGAGCUAACCGGUACUAAUGAACCGUGAGG